rnacentral:misc_RNA from 1 species
CUUAUUUAGGCGGGUUGCCGGAGAUGUACUCAGGCGACCCACAUAUGCUCGCUUUUGUUCUCUUUUGGAUAACUAUAACCCUGAUGAAGGACGCAAAGAGGUCGUCACUUCACAAGAGAAACAUGAGGAAACUGCAUUUAUUGAGGAAAUAAGUAGAACUGCACCAAUCAAAUAUAUUCACAAAUAUCUUGCUUCCAAGGGCGUAAUAUCCGAGAGCAACGAAGAGUUUAAAGAAAUGAUGAGAAGUCUGUGGUUUGAUCUAUAUGGAAGAGGUGGUGGGUCUCGAUCCUCUUCUGCAUUUGAGCAUGUUUUUGUAGGUGAGAUCAAGGGGCGUGGAGAGAAUGCGGUCAACGGAUUUCACAACUGGAUUCAGUUUUACCUGGAAGAAGCUAAAGGGAAUGUGGACUACUAUGGGUACAUUUUUCCCAGAAGGCGCGGGGAAAUUAUUGACUCCAAAACUCAACUGUUAACAACUCAAUUUGAAUGGAAUGGUGUUCUGAAGUCGGUUUCGAGCAUUUUGAUCGGAGUGAGCCCAGAGUUUGAAAUUGCCCUCUAUACUCUUUGUUUCUUCAUGGGUGGGGAAGAUAACUACAUCAAUCUCGGUCCUUACCCUGUAAACAUAAAAUGUUAUCGUCUAGGAAACAAUAAAAUUGGAUCGAUAUUUCCUAUUGCUGAAAGUUAAUUGUGCAACCUGAG